rnacentral:lncRNA from 7 species
AGGGACGCGGGCGCUCACACACCGCGCACACUCCGGCUUGGAACGGGCACAGCGCGGCGAUGCAGCCCUCGUCCCUUCCAACCCUUCGCAACAAGAGAAGGUGACAUCUCCUUCCCAGGCAGAAGGACCAGUUAGCCAAAUGACAUCUCGCAAGAGGGAUUCAACUGUUUGUCCUUUCCUGUGAAUGCGAACGUAAUUCAGGCCCUGAACGGCGCAUCUCUGCUCUCUUUGUCUGUUGUCAUCCUUAGAAUGAGAAAAGAGCUAGACCCCUUUAGUUUGAGCUAACGAGUGAUACUCAUUGUCCAGAAACCUGUGGCUCUUGAAAUCAGAUCAAGACAAGAAAUCACAGUCUCCAUGACCAGCCUGGGAGCGUGCCCUCCUUGUUGAUGUGCUGACUUACGUGCUGGGCAGCUGUGAGCAAGCCUCCUUUGAACAGGAAAAUAAAGGUUAAUGUGAG